UAAUUGUAAAAUAUUUUAGAAAUACAGAAUUGCAAAAACAUAGCUAUGCAUGUGCAAAAUAUUGAAAGAGUCAGUUGUAAUCUCUGAGCAGAUUUCUUUUUAAUUCACCUUUAUUGAUGCAUAGGUUUUUGGUUCAGAGUGUGCAAGGGCUUCCCAGGAAGGCGGGAUCUGAAGAGAUGGUGGAGGAACUCACUGGGUGGCCUAAGGAGGAUUGGCUUCUAAGAAAGACUCACGUUCCCUGAGGCCAAAGUCUGGAAAAAGAGGAGGAGGAUGGCAGAGAAGGAGCCGGGAAUGGCUGUUCCUCAGAUGACGAGACCCUAGGCACAGCAUGUAAAAACCGUACCAACUCACAUCUCCCUGUGUUGCAGCAUUAGAAGCCAAACCUGUGUUUUCUGGCUUCAAAGACAAGCCUCUUAAUCACGCUGCUACAUACAGAAAGGUAGUUUUUCUCUUCAAGUUCUCAACAUCUCUACUUACUUUUGCUCAUGUCUUUCUCCGUUUUUAAGUAGUUUUAUCUUCAUGAAAAAUUGUGAUUGUGGCCAAUUUGUAAUUAUGUCUCUAAAUUUAUU